AUCACCAAACAUCACAAUAAAAUUGUGGCGUAAUCAGACAUUAGUGUCAUGGGCUCAUGGCAGUGUGCUACUCACCCGGCCCAUUAUGAGAGCUAAUCGGCACAUAUCUGCGGUAAUCAACCACCAGAACCGGACUGUGUAGCUUACAGAGAAAUG